rnacentral:rRNA from 1 species
GAGUCUGACGGAGCACGCCGCGUGAGUGAUGAAGGUUUUCGGAUCGUAAAGCUCUGUUGUUAGGGAAGAACAAGUGCAAGAGUAACUGCUUGCACCUUGACGGUACCUAACCAGAAAGCCACGGCUAACUACGUGCCAGCAGCCGCGGUAAUACGUAGGUGGCAAGCGUUGUCCGGAAUUAUUGGGCGUAAAGGGCUCGCAGGCGGUUUCUUAAGUCUGAUGUGAAAGCCCCCGGCUCAACCGGGGAGGGUCAUUGGAAACUGGGAAACUUGAGUGCAGAAGAGGAGAGUGGAAUUCCACGUGUAGCGGUGAAAUGCGUAGAGAUGUGGAGGAACACCAGUGGCGAAGGCGACUCUCUGGUCUGUAACUGACGCUGAGGAGCGAAAGCGUGGGGAGCGAACAGGAUUAGAUACCCUGGUAGUCCACGCCGUAAACGAUGAGUGCUAAGUGUUAGGGGGUUUCCGCCCCUUAGUGCUGCAGCUAACGCAUUAAGCACUCCGCCUGGGGAGUACGGUCGCAAGACUGAAACUCAAAGGAAUUGACGGGGGCCCGCACAAGCGGUGGAGCAUGUGGUUUAAUUCGAAGCAACGCGAAGAACCUUACCAGGUCUUGACAUCCUCUGACAACCCUAGAGAUAGGGCUUUCCCUUCGGGGACAGAGUGACAGGUGGUGCAUGGUUGUCGUCAGCUCGUGUCGUGAGAUGUUGGGUUAAGUCCCGCAACGAGCGCAACCCUUGAUCUUAGUUGCCAGCAUUCAGUUGGGCACUCUAAGGUGACUGCCGGUGACAAACCGGAGGAAGGUGGGGAUGACGUCAAAUCAUCAUGCCCCUUAUGACCUGGGCUACACACGUGCUACAAUGGACAGAACAAAGGGCUGCGAGACCGCAAGGUUUAGCCAAUCCCACAAAUC